rnacentral:misc_RNA from 1 species
AAGUCGUAACAAGGUUUCCGUAGGUGAACCUGCGGAAGGAUCAUUAACACGUAUCCACGUAUCAAAACCCCUCUGUGCAAACCCUCUUUGUAAGGCUUUGAUUGGAGUUGUGCUUGCUCGAUCUUAAUGAUGGGAGUUUCGAAAGAGACUCGGGAUCUAUGAGCGGGUAUCAGCGUUUGACAAUCAGCCGCUAUUUUCCCAUCGUUAGCCCCUUUUUUUACAUUUGACCCCUUUGUACUUUUUAUGUACUGAACCAAUUCUUCGAGUUUCGGCUUCGGCUGAGAUACGAAAGAUAUUACGAAACUACAGAACAACUCUUAGCAACGGAUAUCUUGGUUCCC